AACGAACGCUGGCGGCAGGCUUAACACAUGCAAGUCGAACGGGUGUAGCAAUACAUCAGUGGCAGACGGGUGAGUAACACGUGGGAACCUUCCUAGGGGUACGGAACAACUCAGGGAAACUUGAGCUAAUACCGUAUACGUCCGUGAGGAGAAAGAUUUAUCGCCCUUAGACGGGCCCGCGUCGGAUUAGCUAGUUGGUGGGGUAACGGCCUACCAAGGCGACGAUCCGUAGCUGAUCUUAGAGGAUGAUCAGCCACACUGGGACUGAGACACGGCCCAGACUCCUACGGGGAGCAGCAGGGGGGAAUCUUGUACAAUGGGCGCAAGCCUGAUCCAGCCAUGCCGCGUGAGUGAAGAAGGUCUUCGGAUUGUAAAGCUCUUUUGCCAGGGACGAUAAUGACGGUACCUGGAGAAUAAGCCCCGGCAAACUUCGUGCCAGCCGCCGCAGUAAGA
rnacentral:rRNA from 1 species